AGAGUUUGAUCCUGGCUCAGAUUGAACGCUGGCGGCAUGCCUUACACAUGCAAGUCGAACGGUAACAGGUCUUCGGAUGCUGACGAGUGGCGAACGGGUGAGUAAUACAUCGGAACGUGCCCAGUAAUGGGGGAUAGCUCGGCGAAAGCCGGAUUAAUACCGCAUACGCCCUGAGGGGGAAAGUGGGGGACCGCAAGGCCUCACGUUAUUGGAGCGGCCGAUGGCUGAUUAGCUAGUUGGUAGGGUAAAGGCCUACCAAGGCGACGAUCAGUAGCUGGUCUGAGAGGACGAUCAGCCACACUGGGACUGAGACACGGCCCAGACUCCUACGGGGGGCAGCAGUGGGGAAUUUUGGACAAUGGGGGAAACCCUGAUCCAGCAAUGCCGCGUGUGCGAAGAAGGCCUUCGGGUUGUAAAGCACUUUUGUCAGGGAAGAAAUCCUUUGGGCUAAUACCCUAGGGGGAUGACGGUACCUGAAGAAUAAGCACCGGCUAACUACGUGCCAGCAGCCGCGGUAAUACGUAGGGUGCAAGCGUUAAUCGGAAUUACUGGGCGUAAAGCGUGCGCAGGCGGUUGUGUAAGACAGGUGUGAAAUCCCCGGGCUUAACCUGGGAAUUGCAUUUGUGACUGCACGACUAGAGUGUGUCAGAGGGGGGUGGAAUUCCACGUGUAGCAGUGAAAUGCGUAGAUAUGUGGAGGAACACCAAUGGCGAAGGCAGCCCCCUGGGAUAACACUGACGCUCAUGCACGAAAGCGUGGGGAGCAAACAGGAUUAGAUACCCUGGUAGUCC
rnacentral:rRNA from 1 species